AGUUUCGUUUCGUUCAUGAUAUGAGACCAUGCUUCGGUUGUUUUUAGUGUUUUAAUUAGUGUUUUAGUAAAUAAUAUUAUUUUGUAGUGUUGUGUUCUGUUGUAAUCGUUUCUAAAUGUCGUGAGACCGGUAUUUCGUAGAUGGCAGCAUCACAAUAAAAUGUAGCUUGGUCCUCUUCAAGUCAAUCAACAUGAGAAUCUGGCAAACGGAGAUGAGAAAACAGGAUUCAAGCUGGCGGAGAGUGUUGAUAGUGUUUGUGUUAGUUUUUGUGCUAUGUGAUGGUGUCAGUGAUAAGCAGAUGAGUGAGACGCUGCAGAGGGCGCUGUCGGCCGUCCGCGGCCCGAGUCCUGGGGCUAAGAAGUUGCUCAACAUUCCUGAGGAUGGAGGUACUUUAUAGUCAAGUUUUCAUUUCAAUGUAGUGCUAUACAAAACGAAAGAAAUACUUUAAUUUAUAUAUA
rnacentral:misc_RNA from 1 species